UUCUCAUCACUCAUCUCAAUCCCAAGCCUUCAUCACCAUUGACGCUGAGAUCGGAGCUGCCGUACGUUGUGUUUCGUUUGAUCACGUCUAAGUGGGGAGAGAAAGCAAACAUGACAUAUCGUCACCAUUCAACACCGGUUUGAUUAGGAGUGAAAGAAGAAAACAAUGUCAAGUAGUGGAUUUGGUGACCCGUUUAUUGAUACGUCUGAAGUAAAUUAAGGCAAUUUAUUUACGGAUCUGGAUAGCCCUUGUUGCCAAGAUUUCAGAACAGUUUUCUGAUUCUCAAUCAGAGAUCUCGCUUCAAGGAAGCCAUAGCAAUUGACGGUUUGUCAAACGGAGAUUCAAGUUGGAGUUUUGUAAGGCUCAUAUCUUUCGAAGCAGAGAGAAUCAGUUGACCUGUAAAGUGUCUCUGAAAAGCUCAUAUUGUCUAGAAUGCACAGCAUGUGGCGGAGAUUAAAUCGAGGUUAUAUUUAAGACGUUUUAAAUAUUUCUUUCUCGCCAAGUAACUGCAGACACUGUCCAAAUCUAUGCUGAGUAUGAACUAGAAAACAGUUGGUGGGUGAUUGAUGGCAACGUUUGGAGGUCGAAACAGCGUCUGAUCGGGACGAAAUUUGGCGGAGAGCUUCAUGGUACUACUGGCUAGAUUAUCAACGGUGGGAUUGCAUUUAUAACGGUCCCCUUUGAUGGAGAGCCAAGGUAGAACUUAAGAUCAUGUGGUUGCAGUAAAGAUAUUAAGUAUGCCUAAAUGAAAAGAAAGGAGAAUUGAGUCUUCGUCUUCAAUAGGCUAAGGUGAGUAAGCUUCAGGAGUUGUGUGCAAUAAUGUUUUGUUCGUGUGUGAAGUUUAAAGAAAACGUUUUGGCAAGAUCGGAUGAAUAACAUGCUGUUUUGGCAUGUAUGGCGGGACGCGUGUUACAAGUGAUUUCAUGUUUUCCAGCCAAAAACGUGAUUUUGUGUUUUCCUGCCGAAAACGUGAUCCUGCGUUUUCUCUCCAAAACGUGAUUUUCCGUUUUUCCGCCAAAAACCUGAUCCCGCGUUUUUUCGCUAAAAAAUGUGAUUUUCCG